rnacentral:rRNA from 1 species
CCUACGGUGGGCAGCAGUGGGGAAUAUUGCGCAAUGGGGGCAACCCUGACGCAGCAACGCCGCGUGAUUGAAGAAGGCCUUCGGUUUGUAAAGAUCUUUAAUUGGGGACGAAACAAAUGACGGUACCCACAGAAUAAGCUCCGGCUAACUACGUGCCAGCAGCCGCGGUAAUACAUAGGGAGCAAGCGUGAUCCGGAUUUACUGUGUGUAAAGGGCGAGUAGGCGGGAUUGCAACUUGGGAGUGAAAUCUCGGGGCUUAAACCCGGAACUGGGUUCAAAACUGCGGGUCUUGAGUGAUGGAGAGGCAGGCGGAAUGCGGGGUGUAGCGGUGAAAGGCGUAGAUAUACGGAGGAACACCAGUGGCGAAGGCGGCCUGCUGGACAUUAACUGACGCUGAGGAGCGAAAGCGUGGGGAGCAAACAGGAUUAGAUACCCGUGUAGUC